rnacentral:rRNA from 1 species
CAGCAGCCGCGGGAACACGAAGGGUGCAAGCGUUAAUCGGAAUUACUGGGCGUAAAGCGCGCGUAGGUGGUUUGGUAAGAUGGAUGUGAAAUCCCCGGGCUCAACCUGGGAACUGCAUCCAUAACUGCCUGACUAGAGUACGGUAGAGGGUGGUGGAAUUUCCUGUGUAGCGGUGAAAUGCGUAGAUAUAGGAAGGAACACCAGUGGCGAAGGCGACCACCUGGACUGAUACUGACACUGAGGUGCGAAAGCGUGGGGAGCAAACAGGAUUAGAUACCCGCGUAGUCCCUGUCUCUUAUAC